AACGAACGCUGGCGGCAGGCUUAACACAUGCAAGUCGAGCGCCCCGCAAGGGGAGCGGCAGACGGGUGAGUAACGCGUGGGAAUCUACCCAUCUCUACGGAAUAACGCAUGGAAACGUGUGCUAAUACCGUAUGCGUCCUUCGGGAGAAAGAUUUAUCGGAGAUGGAUGAGCCCGCGUUGGAUUAGCUAGUUGGUGGGGUAAAGGCCUACCAAGGCGACGAGCCAUAGCUGGUCUGAGAGGAUGAUCAGCCACACUGGGACUGAGACACGGCCCAGACUCCUACGGGAGGCAGCAGUGGGGAAUAUUGGACAAUGGGCGCAAGCCUGAUCCAGCCAUGCCGCGUGAGUGAUGAAGGCCCUAGGGUUGUAAAGCUCUUUCACCGGUGAAGAUAAUGACGGUAACCGGAGAAGAAGCCCCGGCUAACUUCGUGCCAGCCGCCGCGGUAACAC
rnacentral:rRNA from 1 species